rnacentral:rRNA from 1 species
ACUCCGAAACUGCAUUCGAUACUGCCGUGCUUGAGGACUGGAGAGGAGACUGGAAUUUACGGUGUAGCGGUGAGAUGCGUAGAUAUCGUAAGGAAGACCAGUGGCGAAGGCGGGUCUCUGGACAGUUCCUGACGCUGAGGCACGAAGGUCAGGGGAGCAAACGGGAUUAGAUACCCUGGUAGUCCACGCCGUAAACGAUGGAUGCUAGCCGUUGGCGAGCUUGCUCGUCAGUGGCGCAGCUAACGCUUUAAGCAUCCCGCCUGGGGAGUACGGUCGCAAGAUUAAAACUCAAAGGAAUUGACGGGGGCCCGCACAAGCGGUGGAGCAUGUGGUUCAAUUCGAAGCAACGCGCAGAACCUUACCAGCCCUUGACAUCCCGGUCG